AAGGAUUCUUGUUAUACCCAGCCCAGCUGCAGCUCUUGGUGACAUGAAUGGGGGAAGCUGUCAGAGGUAUUACUCAGUCCUGGAAUGCAGAUUUUCCUUUGGAACAGCACAGCUUGAGGAGAGAGAAAGACAAGUCUUCUAUAAAUCGCGUGCCAUAUCUGCCAAUCCCAUGGUGAUGAUACAAAAAGGCACUAGGAACCUCUACUUAGGUAACAA